CCUACGGGUGGCUGCAGUGGGGAAUAUUGGACAAUGGGGGGAACCCUGAUCCAGCGACGCCGCGUGAGUGAAGAAGUAUUUCGGUAUGUAAAGCUCUAUCAGCAGGGAAGAAAGGCAUGACGGUACCUGACUAAGAAGCCCCGGCUAACUACGUGCCAGCAGCCAAGGUAAUACGGAGGGGGCAAGCGGUAUCCGGAUUUACUGGGUGUAAAGGGAGCGUAGAGAGUUAAGCAAGUCUGGAGUGAAAGGCGGGGGGCCAACCCUCGGACUGCAUUUGAAAAUGGAUAGCUGGAGUGCAGGAGAGGUAAGUGGAAUUCGUGGUGUAGCGGUGAAAUGCGUAGAUAUUAGGAGGAACACCAGUGGCGAAGGCGGCUUACUGGCCUGUAACUGACGUUGAGGCUCGAAAGCGUGGGGAGCGAACAGGAUUAGAUACCCUGGUAGUC
rnacentral:rRNA from 1 species